rnacentral:rRNA from 1 species
AACGAACGCUGGCGGCAUGCCUAACACAUGCAAGUCGAACGAGACCUUCGGGUCUAGUGGCGCACGGGUGCGUAACGCGUGGGAACCUGCCCUUAGGUUCGGCAUAACUCCCCGACAGGGGUGCUAAUACCGGAUAAUGUCUUCGGACCAAAGAUUUAUCGCCUUUGGAUGGGCCCGCGUUGGAUUAGCUAGUUGGUAGGGUAAAAGCCUACCAAGGCGACGAUCCAUAGCUGGUCUGAGAGGAUGAGCAGCCACACUGGGACUGAGACACGGCCCAGACUCCUACGGGAAGCAGCAGUGGGGAAUAUUGGACAAUGGGCGAAAGGCUGAUCCAGCAAUGCCGCGUGAGUGAUGAAGGCCUUAGGGUUGUAAAGCUCUUUUAACCGGGAUGAUAAUGACAGUACCGGGAGAAUAAGCUCCGGCUAACUCCGUG